UACGUAGGGUGCGAGCGUUGUCCGGAAUUAUUGGGCGUAAAGGGCUCGUAGGCGGUCUGUCGCGUCGGGAGUGAAAACUCGGGGCUAAACUCCGAGCCUGCUUCUGAUACGGGCAGACUAGAGGUAUGCAGGGGAGAAUGGAAUUCCUGGUGUAGCGGUGAAAUGCGCAGAUAUCAGGAGGAACACCGGUGGCGAAGGCGGUUCUCUGGGCAUGACCUGACGCUGAGGAGCGAAAGUGUGGGGAGCGAACAGG
rnacentral:rRNA from 1 species